rnacentral:rRNA from 1 species
CUUAAAGGAAUUGACGGGACCCCGCACAAGCGGUGGAUCAUGUUGUUAAUUCGAUGAUACGCGAAGACCUUACCAGGUCUUGACAUCCCCCGCGAUGCUUUAGAGAUAAAGCGGAGGUAUUCGGGGAGACAGGUGGUGCAUGGUUGUCGUCAGCUCGUGUCGUGAGAUGUUGGGUUAAGUCCCGCAACGAGCGCAACCCCUAUUGCUAGUUACCAUCAUUAAGUUGGGGACUCUAGCGAGACUGCCAGUGAUAAACUGGAGGAAGGUGGGGAUGACGUCAAAUCAUCAUGCCCCUUAUGACCUGGGCUACAAACGUGAUACAAUGGCUGGAACAAAGGGAUGCGAAGCAGUGAUGUGGAGCGAAACCCAUAAAAACAGUCUCAGUUCGGAUUGAAGUCUGCAACUCGACUUCAUGAAGUCGGAAUCGCUAGUAAUCGCGGAUCAGAACGCCGCGGUGAAUACGUUCUCGGGGUUU